CGACGUCGCUCUCGCUACCUCGCAUGGGAGACAACUCAUCAGGAGGAUUAAAGAGGUUGAUUAGCUCGUCACUAAGAUCAUUGAAGGUUGAAGCUGAAAGGGUAACGAGGUCUCCCUUGACUUUGAGGUAGACAUAGAGGGAGAGGAGAGGAAUGGAAGGGCAGUUUGCUGGUUGGGGAAGAGAGGAGGGAGGGUGGAGGAAAGGGCCAUGGACGGCUCAGGAAGACAAGCUGCUGGUCGAGUACGUCCGGCAGCAUGGAGAAGGGAGGUGGAAUUCUGUCGCCAAGCUCACUGGUCUGAAGCGAAGCGGCAAGAGCUGCCGGCUUCGGUGGGUGAACUACCUGAGGCCGGACCUGAAGAGAGGCAAGAUCACGCCGCAGGAGGAGAGCGUCAUACUCCACCUCCACGCCAUGUGGGGAAACAGGUGGUCGACGAUCGCGCGCAGCCUGCCGGGACGGACGGACAACGAGAUCAAGAACUACUGGCGGACGCACUUCAGCAAAAGGGCAAGCCGUCCAAGAACAUCGAGCGCGCCAGGGCGCGGUUCCUCAAGCAGCGGCGCGAGAUGCAGAGCCAGCAGCUGCUGCUGCAGGGACAAGCGCAGCAGCAGGAGGAGGAGGAAGAGAAACGGCCCGAUCACGACGACGGGCCGGAGGCAGCGCCGGCCGUGUCACUGGCGCGGCAGCUCGAGGAGGACCUGCGGCGGAUGCUGCAGCAGGACAUGGACGACCUCAUGUUCCAGUUCUGCCCAAUGGCCUCCUCCUGCCUCCUCCCCCGCGGCAGCGGCUGCACCUCCGUCAGCGCGUCGGCGAGCGAGGAAGGGUCCAGCGGGGAUCAUCAUCAGCUCGACGGCAGCGCCACGUGGGACUGGGGCAGCCUGUGGAACCUCGACGACGUGGUCGAUGGCGGCGCCUGGGACAGCAGCUCCCCUUUGCUGCAGGAUCAAGGGCUCGCUUUCUACUAGCAGCUGCAUGCUACCUAGCUACCCCUACAACUAUAUAUAGCCCUGCUAUAUAUAAUUAGAUGUUCUUUUCGUGCUCGACUGCUUGAUGCUGAGGCCUACAGUAUGUGUGGAGGGGUGAGAGCGAGAGGUUAGUCUGAUCGUUUAAAUGUGCGUUGGAUAAGGAUGCAACACCAACCAAAGUAGUCCACUUCGAUCGAGUAGAAUGUCUUCGUUCAUGACUUGUUUUGCUCGUUUUUAAGCACUUUUUCAGAGAGGGCGAGAGAGUUUGUUUCUCCUUUU